AAUAGAUACCCCGGUAGUCCACGCCGUAAACGAUGAGUGCUAAGUGUUAGAGGGUUUCCGCCCUUUAGUGCUGCAGCUAACGCAUUAAGCACUCCGCCUGGGGAGUACGGUCGCAAGACUGAAACUCAAAGGAAUUGACGGGGGCCCGCACAAGCGGUGGAGCAUGUGGUUUAAUUCGAAGCAACGCGAAGAACCUUACCAGGUCUUGACAUCCUCUGACAACUCUAGAGAUAGAGCGUUCCCCUUCGGGGGACAGAGUGACAGGUGGUGCAUGGUUGUCGUCAGCUCGUGUCGUGAGAUGUUGGGUUAAGUCCCGCAACGAGCGCAACCCUUGAUCUUAGUUGCCAGCAUUUAGUUGGGCACUCUAAGGUGACUGCCGGUGACAAACCGGAGGAAGGUGGGGAUGACGUCAAAUCAUCAUGCCCCUUAUGACCUGGGCUACACACGUGCUACAAUGGAUGGUACAAAGGGCUGCAAGACCGCGAGGUCAAGCCAACCCCAUAAAACCAUUCUCAGUUCGGA
rnacentral:rRNA from 1 species